rnacentral:rRNA from 1 species
CCUACGGGAGGCUGCAGUGAGGAAUAUUGGUCAAUGGACGAGAGUCUGAACCAGCCAAGUAGCGUGAAGGAUGACUGCCCUAUGGGUUGUAAACUUCUUUUAUAUGGGAAUAAAACGUUCCACGUGUGGGAUUUUGUAUGUACCAUAUGAAUAAGGAUCGGCUAACUCCGUGCCAGCAGCCGCGGUAAUACGGAGGAUCCGAGCGUUAUCCGGAUUUAUUGGGUUUAAAGGGAGCGUAGGUGGAUUGUUAAGUCAGUUGUGAAAGUUUGCGGCUCAACCGUAAAAUUGCAGUUGAAACUGGCAGUCUUGAGGACAGUAGAGGUGGGCGGAAUUCGUGGUGUAGAGGUGAAAUGCUUAGAUAUCACGAAGAACUCCGAUUGCGAAGGCAGUUCACUGGACUGCAACUGACACUGAGGCUCGAAAGUGUGGGUAUCAAACAGGAUUAGAUACCCGGGUAGUC